rnacentral:lncRNA from 1 species
GACAUUGAAGGGCCCGUGCCAAUAUAUGUUAUUUUUUUAAUCUCAAUUUAUUUGACACAAAUAUAAUUUACAUAAUUAAUUAUUAAAAUAAUUUUAAUUUUAAAUUAUUGUGAUUUAUAAUACUAUUUCUUCUAGUUCAAUUUAAGUGACACUGAUAUAAUUUCAAAAGUUAACUUAUGUGGUAGUAAUAUAAUUUCGAUAGUCAAUCAAAUGUUUUAUGUUUGACAUAUCGUUUUGUGUCUAUUUUAUGAAAUAUUAUUAAUUUUCUAAUGCGAUCGAAAUAAUUAAUUAGGGGUGAUAUAAUAAAAUCACGAUUGAAGCAGCGAAGAACUCGUGUCUUAAAUGACUUAUAAUAACUAAUUAGAAGUGAUAUAAUAAAAUUACUUUAAAAAAAUACUUGUGAAAAAAGCAUAAAUAGGCAUCAUAUAAGACAUCAAGUUAAUUUA